rnacentral:rRNA from 1 species
UACGUAGGGAGCAAGCGUUGUCCGGAAUCAUUGGGCGUAAAGCGCGCGUAGGUGGCUUCAUAAGUCCGUUGUGAAAGUCAAAGGCUCAACCUUUGAAAGCCGAUGGAUACUGUGAAGCUAGAGUACGGAAGAGGCGAGUGGAAUUCCUGGUGUAGCGGUGGAAUGCGCAGAUAUCAGGAGGAACACCAAUAGCGAAGGCAGCUCGCUGGGACGUUACUGACACUGAGGCGCGAAAGCGUGGGGAGCAAACGGG